rnacentral:rRNA from 1 species
UACGUAGGGGGCAAGCGUUGUCCGGAAUCAUUGGGCGUAAAGAGCGUGUAGGCGGCCCGGUAAGUCCGCUGUGAAAGUCCAGGGCUCAACCCUGGGAUGCCGGUGGAUACUGUCGGGCUCGAGUCCGGAAGAGGAGUGUGGAAUUCCUGGUGUAGCGGUGAAAUGCGCAGAUAUCAGGAGGAACACCAAUGGCGAAGGCAGCACUCUGGGACGUGACUGACGCUGAGGUGCGAAAGCGUGGGGAGCAAACAGG